rnacentral:lncRNA from 1 species
GUACCUAUAAAAAGGUAGCUCCAUGUCACCACAGUGGUGACCCUUCUCUCUGACUCAUUUCCCAUUAUGAGCACAAUUAGCGUGCAGCAUGUGUCCUGGGAGAUUAAUGAUCCGCUGGAGGGAAGAAAGAGGAACUUGGGGAAUGGAUCUGGGUGUAGUCAGAGCUCGCCUCUCCCUGGGAGCUGCCUUGGUGCUGUAAAGGAUCUCAUGUCUUUUGCCAGCUUUGAUGAAACUUGCUAGUUGGAAAGCAGAGUGAAAUCUCAGGCUCUACAACUCUUGACAUAAGUAUUUUAUUCAUUUUUGGUGUCUAUGUUCUUGAAGUACUUAAGAGAUUUGGGGCUAUGCAAGUAAUAGACCAACUUUGUGAUUCAUAUUAAAAUUAAGUGAUUUAAACGCAGGAUUUUUAAUUUGAAAUUAUUUAAGUUUAUAAACAGUAUGGGAACAUUUAGAAAGACCUGGAUUCAUUCUGUUUAUAAUUGUAAUCCAUUAAAUUUAUGAAAAUUACCUAAGAAAUCUGAAAAGGUUUGGUUUAGCCAUCAGGCAAUUGAAGUACCUAAACAAGGAAAUAAAAUAUAUUAAAUUUAUAAAUCUUACUUUAAAUGUUUGAAUGAGUUAAAUAACUCCGUUUGUAUUGGGACCAAACUCUUUAACUCUUUAAGACUGCCUUAAAUCAUUUUGUUAAAAAUCUUAGAUUGAUUUCCACUUCUAUGUAGAGAGUUAGAAAGUAUAUCACCUCUACCCUAACAACAAGAAUAUGACAAAUGAAAUACAAAAUGAUAAUGUUCCUUGAACUCAUCAGAGGACUGACAUCACAGGGCAACUAAGCAACUAGAAUUCCAAAGAAGGACAAGCCCCUCCAAAGACAGGAAGCAUGAGGGCAGGCUCAUCAGUGUCAGAGCAGGGGAGACCAGCACAGACACCUUACAAGCAGGUAAGAAAAUGGAGGCUCCCAGAGAUUUGACAACCUGCCCGCAGCAAUGACCAAAUCAGACUUGGUGCUAAGUCUGCACCUCCCCAAAGUCAGUGUGUUUGUAUGCUCUGCUGCCACUGCCCCCCGCUGGCCCUGCACAUGAUGUGAACCAUCAGGCAGACCUGGAGUUCUGUCUCCUGGGUGGGCUGCUUGCCAACACCAGGGUGGCUGGCCCCUGCCUGUGUCAGGUCCUGCAGUGUUGACUCUCUUCGUGUGAUGUUGGGCAGGUGGAGCUGGUUGUGCUGAGCCUGAGGAAACAUCCAAUGUGCCAAACUUUCUUGUGUGUUUCCCUCUGCUGGUUAUUUAGUAAGCCCAGGAAAAGAGCAAAUCCUGCCCCCAACAGAUGAUCCUCUCGAUGAGAGUGGUUAUGGUGAUGAUGCCAGCAUGCAGUGGGGAGAUUCGACUUUUCGAGAUUCUUCCAGCCCUUUGCUUCCCACAUUUCAUAAUGCUUGAUGGCAACAGCUCUGCUGACUGUUUGGGAAAAAGACAAUACUUAUGUCCCUUUUAGAGACACUUUACUCAGUCCCUCCCGCAAUGCUUAGUACGCAGAGAAAAUAGUAAAAUUAACCCGAUUUGCUCAUCA